ACUGGGCUGGCUCCUCUCUCACUGCAGGAGCGCACGCUGAACUGAACAGAUGAACUCAACAAAGGAACUAACAAAAGUGAAGCAGGAAGUGGAUCUAAAUUGACCUGGUGGAAGCUCUGCCAUGAAUCAGUGUGAGGACGGAGAGGAGGGAGCUCCUCCCUCUAAAAGCACUCCGUGUGGGGAACAUGAAGCUCAGAGGCCAAAGCAGCAACAUGUACCAGACUCUCCUGGGCCAGGACCUGGACCUGGACCCAGCUGUGUGUCCUUAAGGAGUGAUCGGACUAAGGGUGGAUGGAUUGACUUCAAAGAUGGCCGUCAGUCUGAUGGUCCAAAAGUCCAACAUCAGAGACCAGACUCCUCUGGACCUGGACCCAGCUGUGUGUCCUUAAAGAGUGACAUAUCUUUGGAUCGAUUUAUUGAGUUCAAAUCUUUAAAGAUGAGUGCUGAUGGAAGAGGUCAGAGAUCAGAGGCUCCCAUUGGUCAGUCUGCC